AGAGUUUGAUCCUGGCUCAGAAUCAACGCUGGCGGCGCGCUUAACACAUGCAAGUCGAACGAGAAAGGGGAGCAAUCCCUGAGUAAAGUGGCGUACGGGUGAGUAACACGUGGGUAAUCUACCUCUGGGUGGGGAAUAACCCUGGGAAACCGGGGCUAAUACCGCAUAACACUGUAAGGUCAAAGGCGCAAGUCGCCUGGAGAGGAGCCCGCGGCUGAUUAGCUAGUUGGUGAGGUAAAGGCUCACCAAGGCAAUGAUCGGUAGCCGGCCUGAGAGGGCACACGGCCACACUGGCACUGAAACACGGGCCAGACUCCUACGGGAGGCAGCAGUGGGGAAUCUUGCACAAUGGGGGAAACCCUGAUGCAGCGACGCCGCGUGAGUGAUGACGCCCUUCGGGGUGUAAAGCUCUUUCGGCAGGGACGAUAAUGACGGUACCUGAAGAAGAAGCUGCGGCUAACUACGUGCCAGCAGCCGCGGUAAUACGUAGGCAGCGAGCGUUGUUCGGAGUUACUGGGCGUAAAGCGUGCGUAGGCGGUUCGCCGUGUCCUGUGUGAAAGCCCCGGGCUUAACCUGGGAAUGGCAUGGGAAACUGGCGGGCUGGAGUGUGGCAGA
rnacentral:rRNA from 1 species